AGUGAACGCUGGCGGUAGGCCUAACACAUGCAAGUCGAACGGCAGCACAGUAAGAGCUUGCUCUUACGGGUGGCGAGUGGCGGACGGGUGAGGAAUACAUCGGAAUCUACUUUUUCGUGGGGGAUAACGUAGGGAGACUUACGCUAAUACCGCAUACGACCUACGGGUGAAAUCAGGGGAUCUUCGGCCCUUGCGCGAUUGAAUGAGCCGAUGUCGGAUUAGCUAGUUGGCGGGGUAAAGGCCCACCAAGGCGACGAUCCGUAGCUGGUCUGAGAGGAUGAUCAGCCACACUGGAACUGAGACACGGUCCAGACUCCUACGGGAGGCAGCAGUGGGGAAUAUUGGACAAUGGGCGCAAGCCUGAUCCAGCCAUACCGCGUGGGUGAAGAAGGCCUUCGGGUUGUAAAGCCCUUUUGUUGGGAAAGAAAAGCAGCAGGUUAAUACCCCGCUGUUCUGACGGUACCCAAAGAAUAAGCACCGGCUAACUUCGUG
rnacentral:rRNA from 1 species